GGGCCAAGAAUGGAACCUGUGCCACAGCAGUGACCCAGACCACUGCAGUGAUGACACCAGAUCCUUAACCUACUGCACCCCAAGGGAGCUUCCUAGCAGUCACUGUUAAGCAGAGGGAUACGUUUGCUCUUGAAGGGAACAGUGUGAAGAGAUGAUGUGCCUUACAGAUGUCCUGACAGCACGCAGAACCCAGCCAGGGUGACGCUUCCUCCGGGCAGUGUCCGCGCGUGGCGUGGUACAUCCCAUUGCUGUGGCUGGGCCACUGAGCGACAGCAGCGCCGAGAUCCUCAGAGGUCGGAGGAAAUCUAGGCCCAUCCUGUGUCCCAAUGGAAGGGAGCUUACCCGGUCGCUGCAGCGGGGCCCGCGGGGCCGGGAGAGGCCGGUGCAAGCAUCUUAGGAGUCACUCCGAACAGGCAGCAGAGUCCCAUGUAAAAGGGAAUUGGGGGCAGUUCCCAUUGUGGCACAGUGGAAACAAAUCCAACCAGGAUCCAUGAGGAUACAGGUUCAGCCCUUGGCCUCGAUCAGUGAGUUGGGGAUCCAGCAUUGCCGUGA